UCAAAUCAGGUAGGACUACCCGCUGAACUU
rnacentral:rRNA from 1 species